AGUGAACGCUGGCGGCAGGCCUAACACAUGCAAGUCGAACGGCAGCACAAUAGAGCUUGCUCUCUGGGUGGCGAGUGGCGGACGGGUGAGGAAUGCAUCUGAAUCUGUCCAUUUGUGGGGGAUAACCUCGCGAAACCGUGACUAAUACCGCAUACGACCUCCGGGUGAAAGCAGGGGAUCUUCGGACCUUGCGCAGAUGGAUGAGCCGAUGCCGGAUUAGCUAGUUGGAGGGGUAAAGGCCCACCAAGGCGACGAUCCGUAGCUGGUCUGAGAGGAUGAUCAGCCACACUGGGACUGAGACACGGCCCAGACUCCUACGGGAGGCAGCAGUGGGGAAUAUUGGACAAUGGGCGCAAGCCUGAUCCAGCCAUGCCGCGUGUGUGAAGAAGGCCUUCGGGUUGUAAAGCACUUUUGUUGGGAAAGAAAAGCAGCCGGUUAAUACCCGGUUGUCAUGACGGUACCCAAAGAAUAAGCACCGGCUAACUUCGUG
rnacentral:rRNA from 1 species